GACGAACGCUGGCGGCGUGCCUAAUACAUGCAAGUCGAACGAGAGCGACCGGUGCUUGCACUGGUCAAUCUAGUGGCGCACGGGUGAGUAACACGUGGGUAACCUGCCCAUCAGAGGGGGAUAACAUUCGGAAACGGAUGCUAAAACCGCAUAGGUCUUCGAACCGCAUGGUUUGAAGAGGAAAAGAGGCGCAAGCUUCUGCUGAUGGAUGGACCCGCGGUGCAUUAGCUAGUUGGUGAGGUAACGGCUCACCAAGGCCGUGAUGCAUAGCCGACCUGAGAGGGUGAUCGGCCACAUUGGGACUGAGACACGGCCCAAACUCCUACGGGAGGCAGCAGUAGGGAAUCUUCCGCAAUGGACGCAAGUCUGACGGAGCAACGCCGCGUGAGUGAAGAAGGUGUUCGGAUCGUAAAACUCUGUUGUUAGAGAAGAAUAAGUGCUAGAGUAACUGUUAGCGCCUUGACGGUAUCUAACCAGAAAGCCACGGCUAACUACGUG
rnacentral:rRNA from 1 species